rnacentral:rRNA from 1 species
UGCACGUGAUAGGGGAACCGAGUGCUAGCAUCAUAUGCUGGCUGUCCAGGUGUGUAAAAUACACCUGUUAGCAAGGGCCGGGCAAGACCGGUGCCAGCAGCCGCGGUAAUA